UACGUAGGGCGCAAGCGUUUGUCCGGAAUUAUUGGGCGUAAAGAGCUCGUAGGUGGUUUGUCGCGUCUGCUGUGAAAGUCCGAGGCUCAACCUCGGAUCUGCAGUGGGUACGGGCAGACUAGAGUGUGGUAGGGGAGAUUGGAAUUCCUGGUGUAGCGGUGGAAUGCGCAGAUAUCAGGAGGAACACCGAUGGCGAAGGCAGAUCUCUGGGCCGUAACUGACGCUGAGGAGCGAAAGCAUGGGGGAGCGAACAGG
rnacentral:rRNA from 1 species